GAUGAACGCUGGCGGCGUGCCUAAUACAUGCAAGUCGAGCGAACAGAUAAGGAGCUUGCUCCUUUGACGUUAGCGGCGGACGGGUGAGUAACACGUGGGUAACCUACCUAUAAGACUGGAAUAACUCCGGGAAACCGGGGCUAAUGCCGGAUAACAUUUAGAACCGCAUGGUUCUAAAGUGAAAGAUGGUUUUGCUAUCACUUAUAGAUGGACCCGCGCCGUAUUAGCUAGUUGGUAAGGUAACGGCUUACCAAGGCAACGAUACGUAGCCGACCUGAGAGGGUGAUCGGCCACACUGGAACUGAGACACGGUCCAGACUCCUACGGGAGGCAGCAGUAGGGAAUCUUCCACAAUGGGCGAAAGCCUGACGGAGCAACGCCGCGUGAGUGAUGAAGGUCUUCGGAUCGUAAAACUCUGUUAUUAGGGAAGAACAAAUGUGUAAGUAACUGUGCACGUCUUGACGGUACCUAAUCAGAAAGCCACGGCUAACUACGUG
rnacentral:rRNA from 1 species